UGUCAACCUAACUUUAUAUUUCUUUUGUAUGUUCAGCCUCCUUUCACAGAGACUGAAUUUCAAUCAGCUGCUAUCAGUUGACAAUGAUAAAAUUAUCUCUAUAUGGGCAAAUGCGUGCUUUUUGUCGAAAAAGAAACUUCAGCUUCAUGUUCCAGCCUGUCAGCUGAGCAAAGGAGGGAAACUCAGGAUGGAGAACUCCUCCCCCUCCAUCCAUAAGUGGCACACCACCGGCCUCCUGGUGUUAUUAAAGGAAAAUUGGAAAAGUUUCCAGAAGAUUAAGCAGAAAGCUUACAACUUGCACAAGACUCUCAAUUUUCCAGUGGCUCUGACAGAAGGAUAAAUCUUCGGCUGUUUUAACUAAAAUGGACGGUCAAGUUGGUAUCCAUCGUGAAGCUAAAUGAAUAUCUGGACAGGAGUCAGACAAAGGGAAGGAGAAUCCAGGGGAAGAUGAAGCAGCUGCAGGCCUGUCUGCUACCCUACAUCUGGGGAAGAGCCAGAAAUUGCUGACCAUAGAGAGUUACAUUGUCCAGCUUUUCCUCCACGAAAUGGAGCAGCAACAAAAGGCCAGAUCAUUCAACCUAUGCUUCCUCAAGUCUGAUAACAUUAGCGUUUCUCUCAGAUAUCAGUUGAAGUAAGGAGUUGCCAAUAGAAGCAAAGGAGUCCUGAGAGAAGCUGAGGGCUUCAAGCAAUGAGAUUUGAGCCUACCUCCCUUCAUCAAAAGUGCAGCUAGAGAAACUUGGAGAAGCAACCAGAACGGGAGUUGGGAAGGUAAUACUUUUACAUCAAAACAACACUAGCUUUAUUGGCUGUAAUAAGAGCAAAGUAUGUAAGUAGAAAUGAUAUUAAUCUGUCAUGCAUAUCACUUCUCAAGUGGUUCCUCAACAAUAGUGUUAAUCAAGCUUUGCCCUACUUUUAUCGGAAACCUGGUGAAGAAUAGCUUUGACAUUUAUCAGACAUAGGACACUAAGAAAAUUGCCGUAUGUAUAAGUAAAUUUAUGCCUUGAAAAUGUUUGUGCCAUGCUCUGGGAAAGGGGGUCAGGAACAAAUGAGAGGGUAGAGGUAGAAGGGAAAGGUCUGCAGAAUGUGGAGGUGAGAAGGAAAGAAGAAAAGGGUUGGGCAUGGAGGGAGGUAACGUCGGGGCUAAACCUAAUAGGCCUGGGGAGCCUCCAGAGAUUCAGGCAGUUAAGUUUCUCUCCUUUUUUUUUUUCCUGGUGUUCUCAUUUUCAUUUGGGUGGCUUUGGGCAAGUCUUUCUGAAUCUCAGAUGGUGCUAACACUUUCAUCCAACUGAGGAAUCAAUAAGAUGACACGCUUAAAAGUGUUUUGCUAACUAUAAAGUGAUACACUAAUGUUAUUUAGAGCAAGGGAGAAAAAGUAGAGAGCAUCUAAUAACUUACAAUGCUAUUAUGGUAAAAAAAAAAAAAAAGUUUGUCCACAGGAUACACAAAGAUGAAUGAGUAAAAAGUGAUUCAUCAAUUAUCCCAACCUAGAAAGACUCAGCCAAGGAUGGGCAAAAUACUAAAUUCCUCUCUUAGCUAUAUAUGGAAUAGGUCAGGGAGAGGGUUUAUUUUACUGCUCUCCUUCUUAUAAAUGUGGGGUUCAGAAUUGAACAGUUGUUCCAUCAACCAUGACCCUAAAAAGCUGGGUAUGCUAGGAAUCUAGGAGAAGAGAUUCAAAUGUAUUUUCACUUGGAUAUAAAAAUGGGGAGGAAAAGCCACAGUGGUGACAUGUCAUUUUGCAUACCUCAGAAUUCCAGAGAUCCCUAGCUUUCGAUUCUGUGCAGGCUCUUUGUGGUACUGGCUGUAUCAGCUGCUCUUGACCAUGAACCAGAGCAUCUUGGAGAGGAGCUGCUAAGUGCCUACUGAGUCUGUAGCAUGGAAAACAUGUCUGCAACGUUAAUGGAGAGCUCUGGUUUCUGGGGCUGAGAGAUUUCAAUCACUGAUAUUGUCAGUGAGUGAGGGUGGCAGGGGCCAUGGUGUAUGCUUGUCUGGAAUAAAGAAUAUCAGUUUUGAAAAAAAAAUCAAAAAACAAAAACAAAAACAAAAACAACCUUGCUGAGUAGGUGCCAGGUCUGGUUGUGAGCCAUUAGUAGGUGUGUAAGCGGACUGGAGCUGGGCCGACUUCCCCCGACGCAACAGGGAGCCCUCCUGCAGGGCCAGGCAGCUCACCACAGCACCACUGCUCAGAAACAGGAGGUUAAUUAGCCCAGCACUUAAUGAGAGCGUCUGGAGGAACUGUUAAGAAAAUACUAAAAAAUAAAUGAGAUGGAGAAACGAUGGAAGGAAGGCAUAGACAUGCUCCGAAAUGGCUGGUAGAAGAAAUAAUAUGGCUGAGACAAAUUGAGAAUGACUGAGCAGCUGAAGCCUGGACCCAGUGCUGCUGAAGGGGCACCCUCUUAAUGAACAAGCAGUGCAGAGAUGGAGGAACUUAUGAAGCUUGGCAGCUAUGGUGGUGGUGAAGUGUGUGUGCAUAUGUGUGUGUGUGUUGGGGGUAGGGUAGAAUGGGAGAUAGGGUUUCUUUUCAUUUUAAGGACUUUGGAAUCACAAGACUUCUAAAUCAAAGAAAUUAUUAUCUUCUAUCCCUAGGAUCAUUUCUAUUUAUUUCAUAUUAAGCUUGGCACUUAUCAAAAAUAAAUAUUUGUGGAAUAAAUGAGUGGAUUAAAAAAAUGAGUUUUGUUAAUUCAAUGCCA